rnacentral:rRNA from 1 species
CAACGUUGAUAGGCUGCAGGUGUAAGUGUGGUAACACAUUCAGCCGAGCAGUACUAAUAUGCCGAAUGACUUUAUCAA